UAGGACCAGAGGACACAGAUAGAGUGGAUGUGGAGAUGAUGUUUCCUAGAGUGGGGGUGUCCUGGACCAGAGGGCACAGAUAGAGUGGACGUGGAGAGGAUGUUUCCGAUAGUGGGGGUGUCCUGGACCAGAGGACACAGAUAGAGUGGAUGUGGAGAGGAUAUUUCCUUUAGUGGGGGAGUCUAGGACCAGAGGGCACAGAUAGAGUGGACGUGGAGAGGAUGUUUCCUAUAGUGGGGGGAGUCUGGGACCAGAGGGCACAGGUAGAGUGGAUGUGGAGAGGAUGUUUCCGAUGGUGGGGGUGUCCUGGACAGCCUCAGGUUACAAGGACGUCCCUUUAGCACAGAGAUGGAAAGGAAUUUCUUCAGCCGGACAGUGGUGAAUCUGUGGAAUUCAUUGCCACAGAUGGCUGUGGGAACCAGGCCACUGAGUGCAUUUAACGUUGGGUUUGACAGCUCUUGAUUAGUCGGGGCAUCAAAGGUUACGGGGAGAAGGCAGGAGAAUGGGGUUCAGAGGGAUUAUUAGUCAGCCAUAGUGGAAUGGUGGAGCAGAUUUAAUGGAUUAAUUAAUCUAAUUAUGAUCUUAAACAUGUUAUUGACUUACGAUCCUAUAGGAUAGGAGCUCAAAGCAUUACGGUUGAUGGGCUGGCAUGGAUGAGGGGGGUGGCUGUUGACUGAUGAGCUGACAGAAAACAGGGUGGGGAAUAAGCGUGUCACUCUGAGCUGGGAGGCUGUGAUUUGUUGGUUUCACGGGGAGUGAGUCUUGGCUUAGCCUAUCACGAUCCAUAUCAAGGAACUGGGGAGCAGACGGCAGGUUGACCGAGAGGAGGCUGCAUGAAAGGGCCGAGUCUGUGGACCCAGGCGAUCCCAUAACAAGAGCCACUAAAAAUAAAUAUCCAGGCACAACAAGAAAUCAGGAGGCUGACUUGAAUCUCUCAGCAGAGACGCUCUUCUCCAGUUAUAGAGACAUACCAACUUAAGAACAUACGAAAUAGGAGCAGGAGUCGGCCAUCUUGCCCGUCGAGCCUGCUCCGACAUUCAAUAAGAUCAUGGCUGAUCUGGCCAUGGGCUCAUCUCCACCGACCUCCCUUUUCCCCAAAACCCUUAAUCCCCCUACUAUGCAAAAUCUAUCCAACCUUGUCUUAAAUAUAUUUACUGAGGUAGCCUCCGCUGUUUCACUGGGCAGAGAAUUCUGCAGAUUCACCACUCGCUGGGAGAAACAGUUCCUCCUCAUCUCUGUCUUAAAUCUACUCCCCCGAAUCUUGAAGCAAUGUCCCCUAUGUGGUGAGACAGCUCUUGGGAUAUUGUGUACAGGUCUGGUCACCCUAUCUGAAGAAGCAGAGACCCGUACCAAAGGGAGUGCGGCAGCAACUUGUUAAAUAUAUCCGUGGAAAUCUGGGCUUAUCGCGUGGGAUGAGGUUGGGCAUCCUGGAUUUCUCCUCCGUCGAAAUUACACUGAGUGGUAACCUUCUUACAACCCACAGAGGCUGGGUGGUGAACGUGGGAGCAGUCCCAUCUCGGUAACGUAAGAAGUCAGCACUCCCGAGCUAGGAAGAGCAGACGCUCCUUUGCCGGGUGCUGAAUCUUUGGAGCAGAGGACCAUAGAGGCUCAAUCGCUGAGUGGAUUCAAGGUCAAUGGAUUUCUUUUACAUGAAUCAAGGCAGCAACAUAGAGCUGAAGUUCCUUCAUACAAUAAAAUGGCUUCCUUGCCUCUCAAUCUAUCUUGUUAUGAUCUUGCACCUCAUUGUUUAUACAAAUUUUGGUGAGUAACAACCAGGCCUUUGUUUUGUAUUCGAGUAUAGCCUGGAACUGUACUCUCUGGAAUUCAGAAGAAUGAGAGGGGAUCUUAUAGAAACAUACAAAACUCUGAAAGGGAUAGAUAAGAUAAAAGUAAGAAAGUUGUUUCCAUUGGUAGGUGAGAUUAGAACUAGGGGACCUUGCCUCAAGAUUCAGGGGGGAAGAUUUAGGACGGAGAUGAGGUGCAAGUGGUGCUAAUCAGAUGUCCACUUAAAUAAUACACAAUCCCCAAACCUAUCAAAAUAAACUGAACAAGCUUAAAUAGAUGGCACCAGGAGACCACAUUACAAAGAGUAAGUUACUGGAGAAAAACACAAGGAACUCUAAUUGAUUAUGGCCCUCAUUAUACAACAAUUAACCAACUCUGGUGCUCUGAAAACCUUUGAUCUCAGUGCUCUCUGUCACCGGAUACAUGCCUGUGGAGCUCGUUACACUGCACUUUCUCUGUUAAUGAUAACACUUUAUUCUUUUUCACCUUCUUCUGCUCCAGCACUGUGUAACAAUUUGUUACGUACAAACAGUAUCCAGUUGGGAAAUUUUCUGGAGUUAGAGUAUAAAACAAAUAUUAAGUUUAACGGCAGCAAAACUUCAGACCUGAAUGUGGAUUGUAGACUAAAUUUACAAUGCAGUCCUGAACAAUAGUUUUCCUGAAGCUGUACACCGGAGUGGAUUGAAAACCAGACACUGCUGAUUAACAUUCAUUUAGGGUAUCUGGAGUGUGGGUGCAGUGAAAGGGUCGUAUGAAAAUUAUAUGUAAUUCACAGGAAGCAUUGUAGAUAUAUUGUAACUAUAGAAUUGUCCUGCUGUUACCUUUGAUCUUUAGCAUAUAAAAAUGUCAAGUAAUUUUGGGUGUCAGCCCUCUUCCUGACAGACAGACAGACAGACAGACAUACUUUAUUGAUCCCGAGGGAAAUUGGGUUUCGUUACAGCCGCACCAAUCAAGAAUAGUGAAGAAAUAUAGCAAUAUAAAAACAUAAAUAAUUAAAUAAUAAUAAGUUAAUCAUGCCAAGUGGAAAUAAAGUCCAGGGCCAGCCUAUUGGCUCAGGGUGUCUGACACUCCAAGGGAGGAGUUGUAAAGUUUGAUGGCCACAGGCAGGAAUGACUUCCUAUGACGCUCAGUGUUACAUCUCGGUGGAAUGAGUCUCUGGCUGAAUGUACUCCUGUGCCUAACCAGUACAUUAUGGAGUGGAUGGGAGUCAUUGUCCAACAUGGCAUGCAACUUGGACAGCAUCCUCUUUUCAGACACCAACGUCAGAGAGUCCAGUUCCACCCCCACAACAUCACUGGCCUUACGAAUGAGUUUGGUGAUUCUGUUGGUGUCCGCUACCCUCAGCCUGCUGCCCCAGCACACAACAGCAAACAUGAUAGCACUGGCCACCACAGACUCAUAGAACGUCCUCGGCAUCGUCCGGCAGAUGUUAAAGGACCUCAGUCUCUGAGAGGGUCUCAUUUUGUUGAAUAAAACACUUCUGUAUUCACCGGCUUCAGUACCUCUCUGCUGGCUUUGUUCACGUGACAUCACAUGCAAGACAGGCUUCUCACUGUAGUUAGUUCAUAAUAAACCAACGUCAAUAACAAUCUCGUUGAAUAUUGGAGCAGGUGUGAGGAACUGAACUGCUCUGCUUCCAACUACGAUGUUCUUUAAGGAACUUUGAGUAAACUAUGCCAGGAUUCUCAUAGCCAAAAGCAAGUGUCGUAGAGUUACUGAGCUUAUCCUUACCAACUGUCACGCUGCUGGCGUUUGGGGCAGCAAUGAAGGUCCUCCAUCUCUGGCGGUGUUCGUCAUGUCAGUAGCUUCCUCUCCGUUUUCACUGCUGGCAGCCGUGGGACGCCACCGCACUCACACCCGGAAGGAUUCUUCAUUGCUGUUGCUGCAACAGUUUUGUUCUGACCGCUCAGGGUUGUUAGCCCCGAACCUGGAGGACCGGUGGAAAACUUUGUCUGACCUUUACCCUUUGACCCGUUCGGCGUGGGCGACCCUGCCAAGAUCCAAAGCAGAAAGCCCUGGCUCUGGGUCAGUGAGGCACGCAGGCAGCAAGCUUGUGGCCCUCUUGGAGGUUUGAGUUUAUGGCAGGAAAACAAGUUAUUUGUUGCACCUCAUCCAUGUGACCAGGGUGUCUUCCUGAGUUAAUCCCAUUUGCCCGUUUCCCUCUAAUCCAGGGGGUUCCCAACCUUUGUUAUGCCAUGGAUCAAUACCAUUAAUGGUAUUGAUUAACCCCAGGUUGGAACCCCCAUUCUAAACUUUUCCUAUCUAUUUACUUGUCUAAUCUAUUUUAUACCUGCCUCAGGCUGUGGCAGUUCGUUCCACAGUGUGGAUAAAACCCUGUUCCUCAGACCCCUCUAGACCUUUCCCCUUGUGAGAGUGUAGAUGCCACUUUGGUGGCAAGAACAGGAAAACAGAUUAUGAUCUGAACGGUGGCCAAUUAGGAAAAGGGGAGAUGUAAUGAGACCUGGGUGUCAUUGUACACCAGUCAUUGAAGGUGGGCAUGCAGGUACAGCAGGCGGUGAAAAAGGCAAAUGGUAUGUUGGUAUUCAUAGCAAGAGGAUUUGAGUACAGGAGCAGGGAGGUUCUACUGCAGUUGUACAAGGCCUUGGUGAGACCACAUCUAGAGUAUUGUGUGCAGUUUUGGUUCCCUAAUCUGAGGAAAGACAUUCUUGCCAUAGAGGGAGUACAGAGAAGGUUCACCAGAUUGAUUCCUGGGAUGGCAGGACUUUCAUAUGAAGAAAGACUGGAUCAACUAGGCUUAUACUCACUGGAAUUUAGAAGACUGAGGGGGGAUCUUAUUGAAACAUAUAAAAUUCUAAAGGGAUUGGACAGGCUAGAUGCAGGAAGAUUGUGUCCGAUGUUGGGGAAGUCCAGAACGAGGGGUCACAGUUUAAGGAUAAAGGGGAAGCCUUUUGGGACCGAGAUGAGGAGAAACUUCUUCACACAGAGAGUGGUGAAUCUGUGGAAUUCUCUGCCACAGGAAACAGUUGAGGACGGUUCAUUGGCUAUAUUUAAGAGAAAGUUAGAUAUGGCCCUUGUGGCUAAAGGGAUCAGGGGGUAUGGAGAGAAAGCAGGUACAGGGUUCUGAGUUGGAUGAUCAGCCAUGAUCAUACUGAAUGGCAGUGCAGACUCGAAGGGCCGAAUGGCCUACUCCUGCACCUAUUUUCUAUGUUUCUAUGUUUCUAGAAUGAGCUGCCACCACAAGUGGUGCACACGAGCUCAAUUUCAACGUUUAAGAGAAGUUUGAAUAGGUACAUGGAUGGAGGGCAACAGUUCCGGUACAGGUCAAUGGGAGUAGGCAGUUUAAAAGGUUUCAGCAUAGACUAGAUGGACCGAAGGGCCUGUUUCUGUGCUGGACUUUGACUCAAUGACUUCUGUGCUUAGUUUUAGAGUCCCCAACCUGGGAAAAAGACUAUGACCAUAAACUUCCAUGACGGGGGUCUCCCCAGUACUGACCAUCCCACACUAAAAUGCUCCCUCAGUACCUCCACUCUGCUGUGGGAUGCUCCCUCAGCGCUGUCCUCUCGACACACCGCUGCGCCUCAGUUGUCAGCCCCAGCAUCCCGAGCGGGGAUCGAACCCGCGACCUCCUGACCCGGCUGCAGGUGAACCGUGGCUGACAUGAGCGGCUCUGAGGUCUCCACUCGGGAAAGAGAUUAAAGUCUAUUUCUUGGAAGUCAGCACGGCCGCCCGUUAAGUCAGAAGCCCUCAUCCUCUGUGGCACAUGGGGGGGGUGGGGGGGGAGUUAAUUAAUGUCCGAGGCGUUUGUUUACUAAAAAUAAGUACAGCUUAAUCCCUUCUCAAGAAUGGAUCCCGCAGGGCUCUCUGGACUCUUGUACUUCAGGCCUGUGGAGAAACUUGAAAGCUUCCAGGAAGCUCAUUACGAAGGUGUCUGGAAGUGGGGAUUGGAAUCCACAAUCUCCAGACCCGGCCCUGGGAGCCCCGGCUCACGCACAGCUGGAAACCUGACCCCGUCAGGAUAGUCGACGCGGAAGACGGCCCGUCUAGAUCUCACACAUCGAGUAUCUGUCACUGGGUUCAAAAGGACGAGAGCGAGCCUGGUUCAAGCGAGGAAGUUAUUUAUAGUCGCACAUUUCAACGUUUCCCACGAGCUGGAACAAUAGGAGACAGCCACGAAACAAAGGAAGCACGCGAUAGAAAGACGUGAUUGUACAGGAGGCCACUGGCGAGCACGUUGCCUGGGGUUACGAAGAGAGAUUGGAGACACUGGGCCUGUUCUCCUUGGAGCGGAGGGGAAGCUGAGAGGGGGCGGACGCACGGCACCAUGAAAGGCAGAGACCAAUUGGGCGCCAUGGUAACGUUGCGGCUAGCAGGACACCGUUACGGCUCGGGGCGCUGAAGUUCGUCGUUCACUUCCGACAUCCUCUGCAAGGGAGGGGUGUGGAACCUGGGUCUCUUCCUGGUGCUCUGGUUGCCCCCCCACAGUCCUAAAAGCCUACCGGUUGGUCAUUAGUCACUGUAAAUUUUCUCUGGAGGCUGAGGGGAGAUCCAAUAAAGGUUUAUAAGAGGCGUAGGUAGGGUGGACGGGGAGUAUCUGUUUCCCAGGGUUGAAAUGCCUAAUACCAGAGGGCAUACACUGAAGGUGAGAGGGGGUAGGGUCAAAGGAGUAAGUUUUUAACUCAGAGUGGUGGAUGCCUGGAAUGGCCUGCCUGAUAUGAUGGUGGAGGCAAAUACAUUGGAGGCUCUUAUAGGAUGUUUGGAUAGGCACAUGGAUGUGAGGAAAAUGGAGGGAUAUGGGCAUGGUGUCAGGAGGGAUUACUGUUUGGGUGUUUUUGAUCUGCUUUAUAGCCGGUUCAGCACAACAUUGUGGGCCGAAUGGCCUCUUCCUGUGCUGUACUGUUCAAUGUUCUACGAUUAGCCUGGGGUUGGGUCAGAGGUUGCUGGGCGGCAGGGCUCAAAGAGAAGGAAGGGCCUAUUCAUCACUCUGGGGUUAAAUCGCGGUUGCUAGGCAGCGCGGGUCAAAGGGACGGAAGGGCCUGUUCUGCGUUGCAUUUCAAUAAAUAAAUAAAUAGCUGAGAUGGAAAGUGAGAAAUUUUUUGCGUAACUUAAAACAUUCCAAAUCAGAGGCUUUAAUGAAGCAGUGGGAAGGUUGAAGGGGAUCUGAGGAAUUGUAUGUUCAGCCAGAGUACGGUUUUGAUCUGGGAGACGCUGCCUGAGCGGGCGGUGGUGGCAAUGUUUCAGAAGUGCCCAGACUUCAAAUAGAACUCAACGGAGCAAGCACCAGGAAUUGAGAUGAGGACUGAUGCACUCUAGGUGCUCAGCAUGGAGACAGCGGGCCAAAUGGCCUGUUCCUGCGCCGAGCGAGAAGGUAGGUUGUAGGGAAUCCAUGGGAGAAUGAGACUGGUGUAGAAUCGACGGGCAGAAUGGCCUCUGUCCGAAUCCUAAGGGAACAAAAGUGUGAAUAAGUCAGGCGAGUCCCUGCACCCAGACAAUGUCAGCCUAGAUUAAACCUCCACUGCCCCCCACCAAGAAAGUGCUAGAUAAAUCCAGGCCCUUUAAUUAAACGUGGACUUGGAGGCUGCAAGAUGACAGGGUGAUUCAGCCUUUCACCUCCUGUGUGGGCCAACCACACUUAUCUAUCGCGGGGUCUGGUUAAAGCAGACAGCAAAAACCUCUCAGCACUGUUACUUUUUCAGAGGCAGAGCCAUCCGUCAGCGGGACAGAAAGAGCAAGAGGGGGCGGCAGAGAAGGAUGGGAACGUCUGCUCCAAUUUCUCUUCUUCCUCAAGCUUCUAAUCAGUCCGAAGCCACCCACGCUGUUCAGUCUGGUUUGUUUGUAGACAGGGCGGCCUAGGCCUCCUGACACAGGCAGAGGCUUUCCUUCAUCGCAAGAGAUUCUGCAGAUGCUGGAAAUCCGGAGUGACACAGACAAAACGCUGGAGGAACUCAGCGGGUCGGGCUGAAUCUAUGGAAAUGAAUGGGCGGUCGACAUUUCGUGCCGAGACCCUUCAUCGGGACUGAAGAGGAAGGGGGAAGACGACAGAUUAUAAAAAAAGUGGAGGGGGGGAGGAGAAGGAGAUGGACGGCUCUCCCUGCUUCCUACCUUCCCCGCUGCAGUCUGUAAGGAGCUCGUACGUUCUCCCCGUGACCACGUGGUUCACUUGGGGGCUAUCCAGUUUCCUCCCACGUAUCGGUCAGCGGGUUAAUUAGUCGCUGUAAAUCGUCCUGUGAUUAGGCAGGGGUUAAACUGGGGACCGGCCUGUUCCGUGCUAUAUCUCAAUCAACAAACAAGAAAACAAUAAAUAAUCGGAUAAUUCUUCCUCCUUCUCAUUUCUCUUUACAGUUGCGCGGACCAACCAUCGCUCCGAGUGGGAAAUGUUUACACAGCCCGAAAACGGUGCAGCUCUUCAAAUGUUUAUUUUUGGAAUAUGCAAACUAUGAAUAUUUAGAAUGGAAAUUCAAGAAUCACAUACUUUUGAUUUUAUUUACUAAUUGAAGCGUAUAAUGGAACGCAGUACAACGGAGAAAGUUUUUCAACUUUUGAUAAACUUUGUCUCACCUGUCGUU